rnacentral:rRNA from 1 species
CUAUGGCCAUACCACUCUGAAUGCGCCCGAUCUCAUCUAUUCUUGGAAGUUAAGCAGGAUUGGGCCUGGUCUGUGCUUGAAUGGGAGAAUAAAAUUAGGCUGCACCAUCUU